CGGGGGGCGAUAAAUAAAACCAAUAAGGAUACCCUUAGAUUUUGGAAAUAAAAUUUCUAUCCAGAUACAUUCGAUCCCA